ACAGGUAGUCGAAUAAUCUCCAGGACCUGACCUACAGCAACAACAAAGAGUGUGACCCGUUCUUACCCAUCCAUCUUUUUUUUUUUCGGUUAUCCCAAAGGUUACGUGGAAACUAACGCGUUCCCAAAACAAUGUCAUGUUAAAGAAGACGGACAUCGAGAUUAUUUCUCUGAUAGAAAAGGAAAGGAGACUCGUGUCAUAGAAAAAAAAAGCAAGGGAUGCGUUUCCUUUUCGACAUAAAGUCUCCUCUUUAGAAACGCUAAGAUGGUAGCUGUUUUAUUCCAGAGUUGAUGGACGUGAUAGGAAUUUAUUUAAAGUCAGGUAUAUUCUGUCAAACCUGAUUUGAUUCAUGUGUUCAGAUCAACUUAAUUAGAAGAUGAUG